rnacentral:tRNA from 1 species
UGCCGAGCUGGUGAAAUUGGUAUACACGCAGGUUUUAGGUACCUGUGUCAUAAUGACUUGGGGGUUCAAGUCCCCCGCUCGGUAA